rnacentral:rRNA from 1 species
UACGUAGGGGGCAAGCGUUGUCCGGAAUCAUUGGGCGUAAAGAGCGUGUAGGCGGCCCGAUAAGUCCGCCGUGAAAGCCCAGGGCUCAACCCUGGGAUGCCGGUGGAUACUGUCGGGCUAGAAUCCGGAAGAGGCGAGUGGAAUUCCUGGUGUAGCGGUGAAAUGCGCAGAUAUCAGGAGGAACACCGGUGGCGAAGGCGGAUCUCUGGGCCAUUACUGACGCUGAGGAGCGAAAGCGUGGGGAGCGAACAGG